AAUAAACCUGAGACCUGUUGUGCACCCCGAAACAUUUAAUGAGAAGCUGAAGCAGCCUUUCAAGCGUGACAAAUAAUGAGAGAUGCCACUGCAGGACUACUGCUGGAAGACAUUUAAGAAAGCAUCAGAAGAAUUUCCUGUGAUUACAAUGGAUCUGCUUUUGAAAAACCUCAGCCUCUAAAAAUACAUAUUCUACUUCAAAAGAAAGAAAAGCGGAGACUAAGGCUCGUCACCCAAGUAAUGGAAAUGUGAAAUGUACAUGUAAAUGUGUGUAAGAUAAACAAUACUCUUUCACUUGU